rnacentral:tRNA from 1 species
GGCCAAGUGGUGGAACUGGCAGACACGCGGUGCUCAGAACGCCGUGCCGAACAAGGCGUGGGAGUUCAAAUCUCCCCUUGGCCA